rnacentral:rRNA from 1 species
AACGAACGUUGGCGGCGUGCCUAAUACAUGCAAGUCGAGCGAGAAACGGGUAGCAAUACCCGGAGUACAGCGGCGAAAGGGUGCGUAUGACAUGAAGAACGUACCCCUCCGUUCGGGAUAACCCCGCGAAAGCGGAGCUAAUACCGGAUACGGUCCCCCUCAUGCAUAUGGGAGGGAUGAAAGUCGCAAGACGCGGAAGGAGCGCUUCAUGGCCUAUCAGCUAGUUGGCGGGGUAACGGCCCACCAAGGCUUUGACGGGUAGCCGGACUGAGAGGUCGACCGGCCACACGGGGACUGAGACACGGCCCCGACAUCUACGGAUGGCAGCAGUAGGGAAUAUUGCGCAAUGGGCGAAAGCCUGACGCAGCGACGCCGCGUGGGGAUGAAGGCCUUCGGUUGUAACCC